UACGAAGGGGGCUAGCGUUGUUCGGAAUUACUGGGCGUAAAGCGUGCGCAGGCGGUUCGUUAAGUUCGUCGUGAAAGCCCCGGGCUCAACCUGGGAAUGGCGAUGGAAACUGGCGGGCUGGAGUGUGGCAGAGGGGGGUGGAAUUCCACGUGUAGAAGUGAAAUGCGUAGAGAUGUGGAGGAACACCGAUGGCGAAGGCAGCCCCCUGGGCCAACACUGACGCUCAGGCACGAAAGCGUGGGGAGCAAACAGG
rnacentral:rRNA from 1 species